rnacentral:rRNA from 1 species
UACGUAGGUGACAAGCGUUAUCCGGAAUUACUGGGCGUAAAGCGUACGCAGGCGGCGCGGUAAGUCUGAUGUGAAAUCUCCCGGCUUAACUGGGAGGGGUCAUUGGAAACUGCCGAGCUUGAGGCGAUGAGAGGGGUGUAGAAUUCCCGGUGUAGUGGUGGAAUGCGUAGAUAUCGGGAGGAAUACCAGUGGCGAAAGCGGCACCCUGGCAUUAGCCUGACGCUCAUGUGCGAAGGCGUGGGGAGCGAACGGG